rnacentral:rRNA from 1 species
AGUGAACGCUGGCGGUAGGCCUAACACAUGCAAGUCGAACGGCAGCACAGUAAGAGCUUGCUCUUACGGGUGGCGAGUGGCGGACGGGUGAGGAAUACAUCGGAAUCUACUUUUUCGGGGGGGAUAACGGAGGGAAACUUACGCUAAUACCGCAUACGACCUACGGGUGAAAGCAGGGGAUCUUCAGACCUUGCGCGAUUGAAUGAGCCGAUGUCGGAUUAGCUAGUUGGCGGGGUAAAGGCCCACCAAGGCGACGAUGCGUAGCUGGCCUGAGAGGAUGAUCAGCCACACUGGAACUGAGACACGGUCCAGACUCCUACGGGAGGCAGCAGUGGGGAAUAUUGGACAAUGGGCGCAAGCCUGAUCCAGCCAUACCGCGUGGGUGAAGAAGGCCUUCGGGUUGUAAAGCCCUUUUGUUGGGAAAGAAAAGCAGCAGGUUAAUACCCCGCUGUUCUGACGGUACCCAAAGAAUAAGCACCGGCUAACUUCGUG